rnacentral:lncRNA from 1 species
UUUCACUCUUCCCACUGACUGCCAAUUUGCUCCUCCCUCCCUCUGGCCCCCAUUAAUAGAGGACUCAGGACAUCUCUCUAGAGUCCCCACAUUCCUCUCUCCCAAGGCCUGGGGAGGAUGGGGCAGCCACCAGCGUGGAAGCUGUCUGCACCUACCACCCUGACCCCAUGGCGUGUGAUGGAGAGUAUGACAGAGACAUCAGGUGACAGCAGCAUUCCUGGGAGCUUAACAAGCUGACUCACCGUGUCACCCUGAGGGGCCUCUACUCCCUGCUCAGGGACAGCCUUUUUGUCAGUGGCUGUGGCUUCAGGAAAGCCAAGAAACAGAGUCUUUUCAGUCACUACACACAUUGGCUUGGCCCUCACCUGCACCGCCUCUGGCCAUUUGGCAGGAGGAGACCUCAGAGCUGCACACAGGAGGUGGUCGAAGAGCUGACGGAUGGCUUCGGGUACUCCAUCUUCCUGGACAUGGGGCAGCUCCACCAUGCCACCAUCAAUAACCAGGGCUGCUCCGAGUGUGAAGAUGAGUCCACUCUGUCUGUAACUGAGGCCUGCAGGAUGCGUGCCCUCCAGGCAGG